GUGAAAAAUAUUUGUCAUGCAGAUGACUUCAGAAAGAAAAUAGGUAGUUCAGCUAAAUUUUUGUGUGGUUAGUUGCUUUGCAAAAUACACUUCUGGUGUGCUUCAGACUUGUAAUGGUGUGUGUUGGAUUUAGUUCAGUGAUGAAGAUUAUGGUUGAAGUUGGAUCAAGCAAGUCUGAAGCGGUAACUACAUAAGGAAGGAGUUGGAGCCAAAGUCAGUAGUUUGGCUGACCUGUCUUACCAAUAAGUACCACAACUGUGCUAAGUUGUGGGAUUUUUUCCAGUUGUUUAUGUUAGUCUCUUGUUUCUUUUAGCUUUAGGAAUGAUUUUACUAAUAGGUCAUUGCAGCUUCCUGUAGAGUAGAAGCACUCGAGUACUGAAUGUUUAUUUUGCUCUGGAGGUAGUAAGUAGGAGGAGAAGAAAGUUUAGAAUAAAUAAAACUGUACUUCUGGGCAGUAUCAUUAAGCAAUUAUCUUCAUAUGGCUUCUGCUGGUACGACUUAGUAUCUUGUCUUAGUGCUGAGCACUAGUUAAACCCUGGUAUUGAUGGUUUGGGUUUAGAAAAUAUGAGAACGUUACAGUCGCACACUGCACAAACCACCUGUUAUUAUAUGAGUGUAUAGGGGUCAUGUGUGAAAGGACAGAGGAUAUCGAAAAGCACAUGUGUGAAGAAUCUCUUGAACACUUGGAAGGUGUUCAGGUAAACCUUUUCAAGGCUACCUAAAGUUAGCAUUGCAUUUAAAAAUCCGGUUCUUCAUAAUUGCUAACUGUGUACCUGCUGCUUUGCAAUAAGGAAGGAUUCCCUUCUAGCUGUAGCUAGAUGUGAUCUACAUUAAAACCAAAGUUAGGGACUUCAGCUAGUGAAGUAACAAACUCAUGAAACUGUUGUGGUUUCAGUUGUAUGGGGUUUCUUGUAAGACUGCGGACACCAUUUUUCAUGGGAUGAUGGCUUUAGUUUAAAAUAAAACUCAUAAAUACUUUUUUGCUGUUGUCUUCAUCACAAGCAUGUUACUCAGGGAUCUAAUUCACUUAGUAUAUAGAUCUGCACAGUUUUAAAUUCUAGAAGGAUUUGUUGUAUUGUUUCAAUGGUAAUUUCACUACAGUUUUAACAGAUUUUUUUUGAGACUUUUAUAACUUGGAGAUAGUGAAUAUUUUUGUCCUCAUUUAUCCCUCCCACCUAUCCUCAAUUUAGCUUUCUAGUAACUUUCAAAAUUAUAUUUAUUUGGGUAAUUCAUGUACACCGACAUGAAACAAAGAUCAAAUGUUCAAGUAUGUCGUGUGUGCUUCUCAUUGCAAGUUCUAGGCAUCUACCUCCACCAUGUGGCAGUUCUUCAGAUUUUUAAUGGGAGGUUUGACUGUUACUGAAUGGAAUAUAGUAACUUAAUUAUACUUUAGGAAGUGCAUGAACGGUAGUGUGAGAAAAUAGCAUUAUUCAAAUGUCUUCUAGUUGAAGUGUUUUGGUAAUAAAAGAAGAAAGGAUGAAGAUGAGUUUACUAAAUAUCUGAAUUGGUAGUAAUUCAGAAUUCUUAAUGUUGUUUCAAUUAUAGUUCUUAAACUUAUUUAAAAUAUCAUCUUGAUGAUAUUAAUAUCAAGUGAUAUUUUAGCAGUAUAUACCACAAUAUCCAUUUUGGAUGAACUUAAUUGCCUUUUCUUCUGAUUGUUUGAGUACAUGUGUAAAAAAAACCAAGACUUGCAUCAAAUUUCUGUAAUUUAAUGGUAGGUGACUAGACCACUGAGUCCGAAAAAAUGUACUGCUUAAAGCUGUUUGGUUGUUGAGUGAGAGAAAACAAAAUAAACUGGCUUACACACAACUUGAAAUUGGGAGUUGGUUUACUGAAAUUCAGACUGCAGGUGAGACAGCUCUAGAAUAAACAUUCUACAUUUCUGGUAACUUCAGUCCUCUGGCAACUUUAUGGCUUUGUGGUAAGGCCUUUUUUUAAUUGUUUGGACAAGAAUAAAAGGUGUUCUUUUAAUGUGGUGUGUCUCUUGGUAAGUAUUAAAGUGCAAACAGUACUGACUGUCAAACUUCUGUUAGAGUUUAUAAAUUAGUUUAUAAAUCAGUUGAAGUUACCUUGAAAAAUAAAUAACUUUGUAAAAUGUUUUUGGCCUUCUAUUAAGGAAUGACUUCACUCAGGUAUGUUUGUGUAAUGUGUAUAAGCUGUGCUAUCAGCAGGGUAAUAUUUUCCACUUUUCUGCAAGUAAAACUCGUGUUGAAAUCAA
ensembl:lncRNA